rnacentral:lncRNA from 1 species
UUUAAAAAUGUUUUUAUUUAUUUUUGAGACAGAGAGAGACAGAGCAUGGGCAGGGGAGGGGCAGAGAGAGAGGGAGACACAGAAUCUGAAGCAGGCUCCAGGCUCUGAGCUGUCAGCACAGAGCCUGACAUGGGGCUCGAGCUCACGGACUGUAAGAUCAUGACGCGAGCUGAAGUCGGACGCUUAACCGACUAAGCCACCCAGGCGCCCCAAAGGCCCACAUUAUAGCCUCACCAUCCAGAGCAGGCAGGUCACCUUGGCACUCCUAGUCCCCAUCCGGCUCCCAGGCCCGGGAAAAGCAGAGCAGAGACAUGGAGGGGGCCUAGAACCAAAAGCGCAAGGCUCAAGCACCGCUCGAAUGUCCAACCAAACCCCAAGCCUGUGCUGCUCCUUUUAAGGAAGGGCCGCAGAAAGGAGUCUGCCAGACAUGGACUGGCCUAUAGCUGGAGGGAAUGCAGGACUAGGGGUGGAAGAAGAAGAGGCUGUCAGGAAAGGAGCCACAGAAACAAAGAUAAAGCCAGGAGAGCACAGGAGAGUUCCCAGCAGGAGGCGGGGAUGGUGAAGGGGCGGGCCCGGCCACGUUUGAGUAGCUCCAAGCAGGAUGGAACCAGUUCUGCAGAUGCUGCCCACUGUUCCGUGCCUGGGGCUCACCUCCAAGGAGUAGCGCCCAAUCUUCUCACACACAGGAUACUGCUCCCACCCUUCUUCACCAUGGCAAAACCCAGUCAUCGAGACUUGAACAUGAACUCCAUUUUCUCAGAGAACAACAGAAUCUGGCUAGAAUUUCCUUGCAAGUACACCCAAAUCCCUGAAGGAAAACCUGCUGGGAUUGGCUGCAGAUGGUUUCAUUGCAAGAGAAGAAUGUGCCUGCUCUUGGCUGCCUGUUCUGUAUGCAUGAUCAAGCCCCAGUCAAUGCUUCAUGUGCCUCAUUAACUGUGGGACAGGAAGAAGUAUGAUGCUCCCAGAAUACAUGCCCUUUUCUCUAGCUAAGGCCAGUCUUGUGAAAAGGAAACACUUAAAAAUUAAAAGGACGGCUUGUAAAAAAAUAAUUUUUUUACUACCAAAUUCAGUCUUCCUUUAUUGACUCAACUGUGAAUAGCUGACAAAAUGUUAUUAAAGAGACCAUUCACUCACAACUGGGCUGACUUGUUUACCUUGAAGUAGAUAAUAGUGGAAAGGAAAAUGCACCAUCAUUUGCUAGGACCCUAAGUAUGAGAUACAUAAGGGACUAAGAUCAUACGAUGUAAAAUCAGAAAGAACAAUUAUAUGAGGGAACCAGAGAGUUAAAUUAUCUUAAAAUCUGUUUGCUCAUGGCAAUUGUGCAUUAGUUUACUAAGUAUAAUUUUGCCACUUGAAGAAGCUUAAAGCAAUUUUGCUUUGAGUUUCCAAAUGUAAUUAAAACAUUUUAAAAUUAUUAAAAUGAGGAUAAUG